rnacentral:rRNA from 1 species
AGGACACAGUAAGGAUUGACAGAUUGAAAGCUCUUUCUUGAUUUUGUGGAUGGUGGUGCAUGGCCGUUUUUAGUUGGUGGAUUGAUUUGUCUGGUUAAUUCCGAAAACGAACGAGACCUUAACCUGUUAACUAUGUGAUGUUAAAAUUCGACUUCGGUCUCAAUAUUUGAUAUUAAAAAUUUAAUACUUCUUAAAGGAACAAUUCAAACUUUAAUUGAAUGGAAGUUUAAGGCAAAAACAGGUCUGUGAUGCCCUUCGAUGUUCUGGGCUGCACGCGCGUUACACUGAUAUGUUCAAUGAGUUUUAAAUUUCCUAGUCUGAAAAGACGUGGUAAACUUAGAAAACAUAUCGUGAUUGGAAUAGUAUUUUGUAAUUAUCGCACUUGAACGAGGAAUUCCUAGUAGGGGCAAUUCAUCAAAUUGCCCCGAUUACGUCCCCGCCCC